AAAUUAACACAAGUUGGUGAGGAGAACAUAGAGUCGGGUUGGGUUACAGUACAAUUUGGCAAAAGUAAAGUAACUCAUGUAGUGGAGGAAAUAGCUAAAAUUACAGUGAAGGGGGAUGUUAAUGACAGUGAAUGGAGGACUUUAAUCUCCCUGAUGUGAACUGGAAAACGGAAGUAGCUGGUUGUGCCCGGAGUGCAAAUAUUCUGAACUCCCUACUGGGAUUAUCUUUAAAACAAGUAUUUGAGGAACCAACUCGUAAGGAGGCCAUAUUGGAUUUAGUGUUCACAAAUGGAGAUUUGUUAACAGAUAUUUCUGUAGGUGGAAGUUUGGGAUCUAGUGAUCAUCAGUCUGUGUGGUUUAAUAUAUAAACAGUGAGUCGCACCACGCAACAACAAAAGUUUUAGAUUUUAGGGCAAUUUAAAUGGAGUCCAGGAGAAAUGGGAUUAUUUAAAAGUUGUAUUAUUGAAGAUAACAGAAAAUUGUAUUAGGCUGGUCAGUAAGAGUAAAAAAUUACAGAAACUGCUGUGGUACUCUGCAGAAGUGGCCAAAAUAUAAAAAAGACAAUAAUUUAGCCUUUAGUAGAUACAAAAAUACCCAAGGUGAGGAAGAUAGACAGAUCUAUAAAAUUAGGCAGGAAGAAGCAAAGAAAGUUAUAAGAGCUGCCAAAUCACAUGCAGAAGAGCGAAUUGCCCUGUCAGUAAAAA